rnacentral:rRNA from 1 species
CAUGUAGGCGGGAAUCUAAGUCUGUUGUGAAAAUGCGGGGCUCAACCCCGUAUGGCGAUGGAAACUGGAUUUCUUGAGUGCAGGAGAGGAAAGGGGAAUUCCCAGUGUAGCGGUGAAAUGCGUAGAUAUUGGGAGGAACACCAGUGGCGAAGGCGCCUUUCUGGACUGUGUCUGACGCUGAGGCACGAAAGCGUGGGGAGCAAACA